rnacentral:ncRNA from 2 species
UAUCGAUCGGAGUUUAAUAGCAGCUCUUUAACAAACCAGUGCUUUGGGAACGAGGGAAGACGGUUAAAAUCCGUCGCUGCCCCGCAGCUGUAUGUGGAACGAAAGCGAAAAGUGCCAUUAGAGAAAGGUUACGUAACCUUUCUCUGAGAAGGUUCGCAAGUAGGAAGUCUUGAGGAAGCCCUUCGCUUCGCUCAGGACGUAAAUCAUUUAGCAUUGUGAAUGUUCAAUGAUUUACGCCACAAGCCAGAAGAUCUCGCCCUUAAAGCUUAACCGAC